AGAGUUUGAUCCUGGCUCAGAUUGACGCUGGCGGCAUGCUUACACAUGCAAGUCGAACGGCAGCACGGUCUAGCUUGCUAGAUGGGUGGCGAGUGGCGAACGGGUGAGUACGCGUAGGAUAUGCCUUGAAGAGUGGGACAACUUGGGGAAACUCAAGCUAAUACCGCAUAAUAUCUGAGGAUGAAAGCUGGGGACCUUCGGGCCUGGCGCUUUAAGAUUAGCCUGCGUCCGAUUAGCUAGUUGGUGGGGUAAUGGCCUACCAAGGCGACAAUCCGUAGCUGGUCUGAGAGGACGACCAGCCACACCGGAACUGAGACACGGUCCGGACUCCUACGGGAGGCAGCAGUGGGGAAUAUUGCGCAAUGGGCGGAAGCCUGACGCAGCGACGCCGCGUGCGGGAUGAAGGCCUUCGGGUUGUAAACCGCUUUCACCAGGGACGAAGCGAGAGUGACGGUACCUGGGGAAGAAGC
rnacentral:rRNA from 1 species